ACUUCACUGUAACUACGUAGAGCACGCAGGUUUUAAAUCUUCUGAUACCAUGCCGGCUUCUUGUUUGAUUCUUGGAGGUGCCAUCGACCCCAGAAAUCUCGGACCCGGAGAAAGAGAGCGUCAUAGAAGAAUGGCUGAAUCCUUACAGAGUGACAUAGAACGUAUCUUCAAGUUUGCCGCUGGUCAUUCAGAAAGAACUCGACAGGGAUAUCACCACGGCAUGAAGGUUAAGUCAAUCCUCCUUAACAAAGGCAUUAAAAGCGACAUUCAUGGGCAGGUAUCCAGGUCUCUGAGAAGUAAAGGUGGUGCGCAUCACUCUCUCUUCGAAAAAUCUAUGACUAAACCCUACACAAACAAGGAUACGGUUCGCCAUGAGAUUCGUUCCUUUCUGCAGAAUGAUUUGAGUGACAACCUCAUCAUUUUCAUGAUCGGGCAUGGUGGGCAGAAUAUGAGGCAAGGUGGCAAGGUAGUAGAAAGCUUUCUGCUGCCACAGCAAGGAUCGAGUCGUAAUGACGUUUAUACUGACGCUGAGCUCACGCAGGACAUUGUGGCCGCACUGCCGCCCCGCAAGAAGCUGUACAUUGUCAUGCACUGCUGCCACUCAGGUGGCAUGGUCAAUUUCUGGCAGCUGGACACAAACAAGCAGGUCGCACUUUUCGCCAGUGCAGAAGCCGACAUUCAAGUCCCAUGGAGCACUGAUCGAGACUUAAACUUCAUCUCCAUGUUCUGCUCAAAGGCAAUUGCCGGAAAGCAAUUGAACACUAUCGCGGAUGAAAUUUAUCAGGCCCUCUAUCGGGUUCCAACCGUCCGGCCGGUCUUCAAAACCACUUAUCCAGCUAUGGUGAUCGAACAGUUCUUGUACUAGAAUAACAUGUUUGAACACCAGUACAAUACUUCUUUCAGCGUGAAUGGUGAAUAAAUUUAAAAAUCAUUAUUUUAUGCUACUUUUGUCAAAAGUAUACUCUCUGUAAGAUAUUAAGCCUGUACAAUACCAGUACAUUGAUAUGCAAGUUGCCAUAUUCCCAACUAAACUAGUACAUUGAUAUGCAAGUUGCCAUAUUCCCAACUAAACUAGUACAUUGAUAUGCAAGUUGCCAUAUUCCCAACUAAACUAGUACAUUGAUAUGCAAGUUGCCAUAUUCCCAACUAAACUAGUACAUUGAUAUGCAAGUUGCCAUAUUCCCAACUAAACUAGAACUUGCACAUGAACUACUAAAGUUUGGGUAUCCACAGAGUAAACAUUAGUUAGUAGCUUAGUGAUUGGAUUAGUUAGUAGCUUAGUGAUUGGAUUAUCAGCUUAGUGAUUGGAUUAUCAGCUUAGUGAUUGGAUUAUCAGCUUAGUGAUUGGAUUAUCAGCUUAGUGAUUGGAUUAUCAGCUUAGUGAUUGGAUUAUCAGCUUAGUGAUUGGAUUAUCAGCUUAGUGAUUGGAUUAUCAGCUUAGUGAUUGGAUUAUCAGCUUAGUGAUUGGAUUAUCAGCUUAGUGAUUGGA